rnacentral:rRNA from 1 species
AGCGAACGCUGGCGGCAGGCUUGACACAUGCAAGUCGAACGGGCAUCUUCGGAUGUCAGUGGCAGACGGGUGAGUAACACGUGGGAACGUACCCUUCGGUUCGGAAUAACUCAGGGAAACUUGAGCUAAUACCGGAUACGCCCUUUUGGGGAAAGGUUUACUGCCGAAGGAUCGGCCCGCGUCUGAUUAGCUUGUUGGUGGGGUAACGGCCUACCAAGGCGACGAUCAGUAGCUGGUCUGAGAGGAUGAUCAGCCACACUGGGACUGAGACACGGCCCAGACUCCUACGGGAGGCAGCAGUGGGGAAUAUUGGACAAUGGGCGCAAGCCUGAUCCAGCCAUGCCGCGUGAGUGAUGAAGGCCUUAGGGUUGUAAAGCUCUUUUGUCCGGGACGAUAAUGACGGUACCGGAAGAAUAAGCCCCGGCUAACUUCGUG